rnacentral:rRNA from 1 species
UAACAAGGAUUCCCCUAGUAACUGCGAGUGAAGCGGGAAAAGCUCAAAUUUAAAAUCUGGUAGUCUCUGGCUGCCCGAGUUGUAAUCUAGAGAAGUGUUAUCCGCGCUGGACCGUGUAUAAGUCUCCUGGAAUGGAGCGUCAUAGAGGGUGAGAAUCCCGUCUUUGACACGGACUACCAGGGCUUUGUGAUGCGCUCUCAAAGAGUCGAGUUGUUUGGGAAUGCAGCUCUAAAUGGGUGGUAAAUUCCAUCUAAAGCUAAAUAUUGGCGAGAGACCGAUAGCGAACAAGUACCGUGAGGGAAAGAUGAAAAGAACUUUGGAAAGAGAGUUAAACAGUACGUGAAAUUGUUGAAAGGGAAACGCUUGAAGUCAGUCGCGUUGGCUUGGAAUCAGCCUUGCUUUUGCUUGGUGUACUUCCUUGUUGACGGGUCAGCAUCAAUUUUGACCGGUGGAAAAAGGCUAGUGGAAUGUGGCAUCUUCGGAUGUGUUAUAGCUGCUAGUUGUAUACAUCGGUUGGGAUUGAGGAACUCAGCACGCCGAAAGGUCGGGGUUCGCCCACGUUCGUGCUUAGGAUGCUGGCAUAAUGGCUUUAAUCGACCCGUCUUGAAACACGGACCAAGGAGUCUAACAUGCCUGCGAGUGUUUGGGUGGAAAACCCGAGCGCGUAAUGAAAGUGAAAGUUGAGAUCCCUGUCGUGGGGAGCAUCGACGCCCGGACCAGACCUUCUGUGACGGAUCCGCGGUAGAGCAUGUAUGUUGGGACCCGAAAGAUGGUGAACUAUGCCUGAAUAGGGUGAAGCCAGAGGAAACUCUGGUGGAGGCUCGUAGCGAUUCUGACGUGCAAAUCGAUCGUCAAAUUUGGGUAUAGGGGCGA